UUUUAAAUUGAGAGUUUGAUCCUGGCUCAGGACGAACGCUGGCGGCGUGCCUAACACAUGCAAGUCGAGCGAUGAAACUUCCUUCGGGAAGUGGAUUAGCGGCGGACGGGUGAGUAACACGUGGGUAACCUGCCUCAAAGAGGGGGAUAGCCUCCCGAAAGGGAGAUUAAUACCGCAUAACAUUAUUUUAUGGCAUCAUAGAAUAAUCAAAGGAGUAAUCCGCUUUGAGAUGGACCCGCGGCGCAUUAGCUAGUUGGUGAGGUAAGGGCUCACCAAGG
rnacentral:rRNA from 1 species